rnacentral:rRNA from 1 species
GACGAACGCUGGCGGCGUGCUUAACACAUGCAAGUCGAACGGAAAGGCCCUGCUUUUGUGGGGUGCUCGAGUGGCGAACGGGUGAGUAACACGUGAGUAACCUGCCCUUGACUUUGGGAUAACUUCAGGAAACUGGGGCUAAUACCGGAUAGGAGCUCCUGCUGCAUGGUGGGGGUUGGAAAGUUUCGGCGGUUGGGGAUGGACUCGCGGCUUAUCAGCUUGUUGGUGGGGUAGUGGCUUACCAAGGCCUUGACGGGUAGCCGGCCUGAGAGGGUGACCGGCCACAUUGGGACGGAGAUACGGCCCAGACUCCUACGGGAGGCAGGAGUGGGGAAUAGUGCACAAUGGGCGGAAGCCGGAUGCAGCAACGCCGCGUGCGGGAUGACGGCUUUCGGGUUGUAAACCGCUUUCGCCUGUGACGAAGCGUGAGGGACGGGAAUGGGUAAAGAAGCACCGGCGAACUACGG